rnacentral:rRNA from 1 species
UACGGAGGGUGCAAGCGUUGUUCGGAUUUACUGGGCGUAAAGCGCGCGCAGGUGGGUGAACAAGUCGGAAGUGAAAUCUUGAGGCUCAACCUCGAGGCUGCUCCCGAAACUGUUCGCCUAGGGACUGGUAGAGGCUGGUAGAAUUCCCGGUGUAGCGGUGGAAUGCGUAGAGAUCGGGAAGAACACCCGUGGCGAAGGCGGCACUCUGGGACGGUACUGGACGCUGAGACGCGAAAGCGUGGGGAGCGAACGAG